rnacentral:tRNA from 1 species
CCUGGGGUAGCUCAGUCAGUUAAGCGUCUGACUUCAGCUCAGGUCAUGAUCUCACAGUAUGUGAGUUCGAGCCCCACCUCUGGCU